rnacentral:rRNA from 1 species
UGUGCUUGCACAUCGCUGACGAGUGGCGGACGGGUGAGUAAUGCUUGGGAACUUGCCUUUGCGAGGGGGAUAACAGUUGGAAACGGCUGCUAAUACCGCAUAAUGUCUUCGGACCAAACGGGGCUUCUGCUCCGGCGCAAAGAGAGGCCCAAGUGAGAUUAGCUAGUUGGUAAGGUAACGGCUUACCAAGGCGACGAUCUCUAGCUGUUCUGAGAGGAAGAUCAGCCACACUGGGACUGAGACACGGCCCAGACUCCUACGGGAGGCAGCAGUGGGGAAUAUUGCACAAUGGGGGAAACCCUGAUGCAGCCAUGCCGCGUGUGUGAAGAAGGCCUUCGGGUUGUAAAGCACUUUCAGUUGUGAGGAAAAGUUAGUAGUUAAUACCUGCUAGCCGUGACGUUAACAACAGAAGAAGCACCGGCUAACUCCGUGCCAGCAGCCGCGGUAAUACGGAGGGUGCGAGCGUUAAUCGGAAUUACUGGGCGUAAAGCGCACGCAGGCGGUUUGUUAAGCUAGAUGUGAAAGCCCCGGGCUCAACCUGGGAUGGUCAUUUAGAACUGGCAGACUAGAGUCUUGGAGAGGGGAGUGGAAUUCCAGGUG